GACGAACGCUGGCGGCGUGCCUAAUACAUGCAAGUAGAACGCUGAAGAGAGGAGCUUGCUCUUCUUGGAUGAGUUGCGAACGGGUGAGUAACGCGUAGGUAACCUGCCUUGUAGCGGGGGAUAACUAUUGGAAACGAUAGCUAAUACCGCAUAACAAUGGAUGACACAUGUCCUUUAUUUGAAAGGGGCAAUUGCUCCACUACAAGAUGGACCUGCGUUGUAUUAGCUAGUAGGUGAGGUAAUGGCUCACCUAGGCGACGAUACAUAGCCGACCUGAGAGGGUGAUCGGCCACACUGGGACUGAGACACGGCCCAGACUCCUACGGGAGGCAGCAGUAGGGAAUCUUCGGCAAUGGGGGCAACCCUGACCGAGCAACGCCGCGGGAGGGAAGAAGGUUUUCGGAUCGUAAAGCUCUGUUGUAAGUCAAGAACGGGUGUGAGAGUGGAAAGUUCACACUGUGACGGUAGCUUACCAGAAAGGGACGGCUAACUACGUG
rnacentral:rRNA from 1 species